rnacentral:lncRNA from 1 species
AACAGCAGGGAGUUUUGCAAAUUGAAUGUCUGAGUUGGAAGGCUCUCAAGUAAGAGUCUAGUUGCUUUGUUUGUACAAACAGAAGUUUAAGGUUUGGCAAACAUGCUGGAGAAGGUCUGGCAGCAGCAGAUGGCAGGAACAGUGAACAGAAGGGAACCGUGCCUGACCUUGGGCUCUGCUGGAGGGGAACUUGGGCUGGCUAGGACUGCCUAGGACUAUCAGACUUCACUCACAGCCUCUAGUCCAAGAGGGAGCUUCCAAAGACAGCAUUUCCAUCCUCUGGUUGAAGUCUCAAGCCCAGAGUUGAGGGGUAGGCACUAAGAAAAAAUGGUUUCACCAGAUGGGCUGUGAGAGGAGCGAACAUCCCCCACCCUCCCUCAUCAGCAGGGGCUGGGUACUACCAUCCCAUUCAGCGCCACCCUGCAUCGCCAUGGGGACCCUGAAUAAUCUCCCGGUUUUCUUUCUUCCUGGUUGAGAUCUUGUUUCUGUCAAAAUGAACUAUUUAUCUGUGUUUCAUGAAACGUCACGGAUUGUGGGCAAAACCAGGACAACCCCAAACCUCAGAAAUAAGAGCCCUCUGAUGAUACUCACACGCAACUCCCCGAAUCUUGAGAGGCUGCAAUGAAUUUUCUUUUCCCAACACUGAACUUAUUCUCUAGAAGCAUUUAACCCAAGCGGCAUCUGACAGACAAGCCCCCAAUGGCCUGAGCAUGCCAGAUCAACUCAUUCUCGAGCUGAUUCACCAGGUGAAGCUGUGGACCUGAGCGACCCACUCACGGAGGGAGAGUGAAGAUGUCAAAGGGAAGACGUGGCUGUAAGUUUCACCUGGAGGCCUCACAUGAAGUUUAAUCAAGCCGUAAAAUACUCAAGAUGUCCAGUGUAUAAGGACUAUUUCACUUUCGUGUGUGAGACAGAACUAAAACUUCAAAGCUAUUUGUCUUUUUAUCUAAGAUUAGCCAUCAUGCAAAAACUUACUGGUCAAGCAGAUAAUAAAAUACACAGAUCCCAUGGAAGGGUUUUUGUACAUUUCAGUCCUUGCAGAUAACAAAGCCAUUAUCCACCCUGCAUGGUCCUGAGAGUGAGUUCCUUCAAUUCUGAAAGCUGCCAGUCCUGCCAGCGCCUGGAGGGUUCAUGUGUUAUAAAUUCUCGAAGCUCUUUUAGCUGCAGUCUGGGCAUCUGGUGACUCUUCGUCCUCUUCCUCGGUCCGCUUGUGUUUUAAGAACAAGUCAGACUUUAAGAAGCGGCUGUAACUGUCAUACUUCAUGAGGUUGAAGAUCUAAGGGAAAAGGAAAAUUAUAAAUCAUUUAAUUUUUGUUAAAUACCUAUCAUGUGCUGGGGCUUUCCAGGUGGCACAGUGGCAAAGAACCCUCCUGCCAAUGUAGGAGACACAGGAGACGAGGAUUCAAUCUCUGGGUCGGGAAGAUC